rnacentral:rRNA from 1 species
CGGUAACAGGUCUUCGGAUGCUGACGAGUGGCGAACGGGUGAGUAAUACAUCGGAACGUGCCCGAUCGUGGGGGAUAACUACUCGAAAGAGUGGCUAAUACCGCAUACGAUCUACGGAUGAAAGCAGGGGGACCGCAAGGCCUUGCGCGGACGGAGCGGCCGAUGGCAGAUUAGGUAGUUGGUGGGAUAAAAGCUUACCAAGCCGACGAUCUGUAGCUGGUCUGAGAGGACGACCAGCCACACUGGGACUGAGACACGGCCCAGACUCCUACGGGAGGCAGCAGUGGGGAAUUUUGGACAAUGGGCGAAAGCCUGAUCCAGCAAUGCCGCGUGCAGGAUGAAGGCCUUCGGGUUGUAAACUGCUUUUGUACGGAACGAAAAGGUUCUUUCUAAUAAAGAGAGCCCAUGACGGUACCGUAAGAAUAAGCACCGGCUAACUACGUGCCAGCAGCCGCGGUAAUACGUAGGGUGCAAGCGUUAAUCGGAAUUACUGGGCGUAAAGCGUGCGCAGGCGGUUAUGUAAGACAGAUGUGAAAUCCCCGGGCUUAACCUGGGAAUUGCAUUAGUGACUGCAUAGCUAGAGUGCGGCAGAGGGGGAUGGAAUUCCGCGUGUAGCAGUGAAAUGCGUAGAUAUGCGGAGGAACACCGAUGGCGAAGGCAAUCCCCUGGGCCUGCACUGACGCUCAUGCACGAAAGCGUGGGGAGCAAACAGGAUUAGAUACCCUGGUAGUCCACGCCCUAAACGAUGUCAACUGGUUGUUGGGAAUUCACUUUCUCAGUAACGAAGCUAACGCGUGAAGUUGACCGCCUGGGGAGUACGGCCGCAAGGUUAAAACUCAAAGGAAUUGACGGGGACCCGCACAAGCGGUGGAUGAUGUGGUUUAAUUCGAUGCAACGCGA